rnacentral:lncRNA from 1 species
UCUCGUGGUAAUCGUGGCAAGUUUAUUAAUGUCGACUUCGAUAAAGAUAUUUGUAGCACUCCCACCUUUCCUCGAACUGUUCCAUCAUCAUCCUCAAGGAGAAAAUGUCCAGCCUCACUCCCGUCACGCCUUGAGGCUGCUGAAAUAAUGGGUGAACAAUAUGCUCGACAACUUCAAGAAGCGGAGGAUGAAGCCUAUGCACGUACUUUGCAUAGCCAACAAGAGGCGGGGGAGGAAGCCAAUCAAACACGACAUGAUGUGGAGGCGGAAAUCCCCCCUCCACUAGAGGUAAGAGUAAAGCUAAAUCACUUACUUCUAACAUUUUCCUUAAAGCAUUUUAAGAAAGUUCCUAGAGCAUUUUAUGUGAUUUUUACACGUUGGAAUUCAACAUAUGCCAUGCUUGCAUCUACCAUGAAUCAUGUUGAGCAUUUAUGUGAUUUUUUUUUAUAGCGACUUUCAAGGCUAACUUGCUUUUAUUGUCCUCUUUUGGGAAAAAUCUCAUCAUUUAUUUGAACUUUUAAAGGUUUUUGAAAAUGCAACUACGGAUUUAUCCGGUGUUUAUUAUUGCACUAGUGUUAAAGUUUUAGAACAUUACAUGUUUAUUGUUAUUGCUUUAAAUGCUUGUAGUAAUAAUGUGGAUUUGUACAAUAUAUUAUAUGACAUGAUCCUUAAUGUAGUAAUAAUGUGGAUUUAUAAUUAUGCCUUUAGGGAAAUGCCUUAUUACGUGCGAAGAUUAGCAAAUAAUCAAAAAAUAGAAUUGUACCUUCCCGAAUUAGAUACUAUUAAAAUUAGAGUAGAUAACACAAUUAAAGCUUUAUUUAGUGAAUAUGAACAAAAAUAUAUGCUAGCAAACCCAUCAUACUCUUCAAAUGUAGGUACUAGUAGUACUUCCCAUACUACAAGAAUUUGGAUUUUCAGCCACACACGUAAAUGUCAUACUAGUAACGAAUUAGAUAUAUAUUUGUCUAGUACAUUUGCUUUCAUAAGUGUAGGUGGUGAACAAUUCUACAUCUUGAAAUGGUGGUCCUUGCACGAGAGGGAAUAUCCCAUACUCGCCACCANN